GUUCUGCAGUGUGUCUCAGCCUGUUGAAGGUCAUCUUGAUUGCUUUUAAGUUUUGGCAAUUAUGAUUAAACUGCUGUGAAUGUCUGUGUGAAGAUUUGUGUGGAGAUAAGUUUCCAGUUCCUUUGGGUAAAUAUCAGAGAGCACAAUUGCUGGAUCAUAUGCUACUAAUAUUUUUAGUUCUCUUGACACUGCACACUUUAUCAUCCAGAGCUUCUCCUCAUUCUGCAAUCCCACCAGCAAUUUCUGAGAGUGACUGUUACUUGCACGUCCUCACCUGAGUUUGGUGUGGUCCCUGUUCAGGGUUUUGGCCAUUCUGAUAGGUGUUGAGUGGUAUCUUGUUGUUGUCUAUAAAUGAUUUAGAAAUGAAGAGAAGUUUGGGAGUUAAAGAUACUAAGAUUUUUAAAAAUUUCUUAUGAGGUGAACAUACAGCUUGUGUCAUUAGAACUUGGUACCAGCAAGAAGGUAGAUAGGUAUUUUAUGGAGAUACAUAUAAUACAUAUGUGAAAAAGAGAGUAAUUAUUUUUUCCCACUAGAGUAUGCAGAUGUCUUUCAACAAGGAACAUAAAGAAAAUGCAUAUUUGAGGUCUGAAAUAUUAUCCCUUCAUCAAGCAUUAGGAAAAGCACAGGGCUUGAAUGACCAGCUGACCAGGAAGUGUUCCAAGCUAAGCAGUAUGCUUCAGACUGCUGGCGUGGAAAAGGCCAGGCUGGUCGCUGACCACCAGGCCAUGCUGCAGGUGGAGCAGCAGAUGAUUUCGCGGACGCUUCAGGAGCAGAGCCUCCUGCUGGAUGCGGCCCACGGCACCAGGAGAGCUGCAGGCUGUUCAGGAAGAGAAAACCCAGCUCCAGGCGCAUCUGUAAGUGCAGCACGGUGGCUAUGCGUGCGUUUGUGUUUCUCUCCUUUGAUGAAAACGUUUAUCCCCCAUCAGCUGGGCCAGCACAGAGAUAAAGAUUCUGCCUUCGAGGAGCUGGCUUGAUAGAACAUUCAUACCUGUUCUCAGUAGGAGUUGGUCAUGCAUUCUAAAACAACACUGAAUCACUCCUCCUGCUAAAUCAGAGCUCUCAUCUGACUUUCAUGUUGUCUGACUUUUCUCCUGAAGGAACCAUUUAGCCCUUGAGCAUAACCAGUGUGUGCAGAGAGCCAGGAUGCCGAGCAGAGGACGGCUGUGCAGAAGGAGCUUCUGGAGUCAACCAUCGCGAGACUGCGAGGCGAAGUGGACGCAUCGGUGCAAGAGAAGUCCCUGCUGGAGGAGAACGAAAGGUUUCGGAGACGGGUGGGUAGAAGCAGAUUCCCACUGCCGCCUCCUCACGGAGCGAUGGUGAUGUUGCAAAAUUGUACUCUAAGUGCAGUUUCAAGACCAGAAAUUGAACCAGAUGCAGUUUGUCCGAGUUUCCCCUUAAAGAAAUCCUAGUGGCUAACGUGUCCCCUGGAGCCUGGGAAGCAGUCUGUGACGAAUAGAACAAUGCACACAGCACCGGUGAGUGUCAGCAGAUAAUUCACACAUCCUCCUGUUAGGUAAGGGUCGCGUUUGGAAAGUUGACAUCCUCUGGAGGGGGAAUGGUGGAGAUUAGGGGCGCAGCCAGGUCUUCCUAGCUAUGCGGGAGUCGACAUCCUCUGGAGGGGGAAUGGUGGAGAUUAGGGGCGCAGCCAGGUCUUCCUAGCUAUGCGGGAGUCUGCCACGCAGAGAUGGCUUUCUGGUUUCUGUUCGUGCUUCCUGUUCACCUCAGAUGCCUACCUGGCCCCUCUUCCGGGCGGAGUGCAAGGGGGUGCCGUGUAGGUACAAAAGCCACACAGGCUGUGUGUGCUCCAGGAGAGCCUGUCAGCCGCUGUGAACCUGACCUAUUGCUUUCUCUCUCUCUCCGGCAGGCUAACAAGACAGAAAAAGAAAUAACACAAGAAAAAUGCGCUUUGGAAAAGGAGUUAGCUAAAAAUAAGGUAUCUCGCAUUUUAUUUGUUGAUGUUCACUAUGUUUUAUUUCCCUCUGUGUCGCUGCCUGCUGUGGGUGAUUUUGCUGUUGUGGGGCCAUAAAUCUGAUGCCCCUUUGGAGCUUUUGGGCACCUCAGUGGAAGGCAGCUUCCGCGCCAUUGUGGGGGAGUUGUGGGGUCACAGGGAAUCCCUGCUGCCCACUGAGGAUGUCAGUCAGGAAGCCUGAGCAGGAGCGGGGGGCUGGGGGAGCAGAGUGAUGCUUUCUGACACUGCUCUUUUAAAAAACAAAAAUGAUUUCAACCAAGCAUGGGUACAUUUGUGCCUGUAAUCCCAGCUACCUGGGCAGCUGAGGCCGGAUAAUCAUAAGUUCAAGGGCAGCCAGGACAACUCAGCUAGACUCUGACUCUACAAAAGAGUGUAAGACUGCAGAUGUAGGUUGGUGGUAGAGUUACCCUAGGCUUGGACCCCAGUACUGAGGUCAGGGGACUUUCAAGCUUCCUAAGUGCGCAUAAGCACCUGCUGCCUGAUCUCAGAGGUAAACUUUUCUCUUUUAUAAUUUUUUAGAAACUAAGACAUAUUUGUACAUUUGGGGGUGCACUGUGAAAACUCCAUACAAUGUGAUGAUCAAAUGAGGGUAAUAAACACUUCGCUCUCUUCUCAUGAGUCAUGUUAGGUGCUUGGAAAGCUGGGUCUUCUCUAGACAUUUGGAAAUACAGUUUGUUGUUGUUGUUGUUGUUGUUCUUUUUUAACCAGUAGCUUUCCUUACCCCACUCUAGAAAGCUCUAGGAUGCUCAUUGUGUUUUGGAGCCUUUAUAACUGCUGUCCACCUCCUCUUCCCUGUAUCUUUGGACCACUCUGUUUUUCUCGCAGGGAGAACAUGUGGGACUUGCCUCAUGUACUCUGGUUGAUUUCAUUUGACAUAAUGAACUCCAGUUCCAUCCAUGUUACUGCAAAUGGUAGGACGUCAUUCUCUUCAUGGCUGUGCUGAUGUACCAUACUUUCUUUAUCAUCUGCUCCACUGCUGAGUAUCUGGGCUGAUCCCACGCCUCACUAAUUUGAACAAUACAGUAAUAAACACGGAGGCGCAGGAUGCUCUGGUGUAAUGAUCUCUUCCCUCCUGGACAUGUGUCCAGUGGUGGAAUCACUUCUAUUUUCAGUUUUCACAAUAACUUUCAUAUUUUUAGUUUUCAGAAGAAGGUUCAUACUCUUUUCCAUAACAGUAC
ensembl:lincRNA